rnacentral:piRNA from 1 species
GCUCAAAUGAAGCUCGUGCGG